UACAGAGGGGGCAAGCGUUGUUCGGAAUUACUGGGCGUAAAGGGCGCGUAGGCGGCCUGUUAAGUCGGACGUGAAAUCCCCGGGCUCAACCCGGGAACUGCGUCCGAUACUGGCAGGCCUGAAUCCGGGAGAGGGAUGUGGAAUUCUAGGUGUAGCGGUGAAAUGCGUAGAUAUCGGGAAGAACACCCGUGGCGAAGGCGGCUCUCUGGGACGGUACUGACGCUGAGACGCGAAAGCGUGGGGAGCGAACAGG
rnacentral:rRNA from 1 species